rnacentral:rRNA from 1 species
UACGGAGGGUGCAGGCGUUAUCCGGAUUUACUGGGUUUAAAGGGUGCGUAGGCGGAUAAGUAAGUCCGUGGUGAAAUCCUGCAGCUUAACUGCAGAACUGCCGUGGAUACUAUUUGUCUUGAAUAUCGUGGAGGUUAGCGGAAUAUGUCAUGUAGCGGUGAGAUGCUUAGAUAUGACAUAGAACACCCAUUGCGAAGGCAGCUAACUACGCGAUUAUUGACGCUGAUGCACGAAAGCGUGGGGAGCAAACAGG